rnacentral:rRNA from 1 species
CCUAGGGGAGGCAGCAGUGGGGGAUAUUGCACAAUGGGGGAAACCCUGAUGCAGCGACGCCGCGUGGGUGAAGAAGUAUUUCGGUAUGUAAAGCUCUAUCAGCAGGGAAGAAAGAAGACGGUACCUGACUAAGAACCCCCGGCUAACUACGUCCCAGCAGCCGCGGCAAUCCGGAGGGCGCGAGCGUUAUCCGGAUUCACUGGGUGUAAAGGGAGCGUAGACGGCCGUGCAAGCCAGGAGUGAAAGCCCGGGGCCCAACCCCGGGACUGCUCUUGGAACUGUGCGGCGAGAGUGCGGGAGGGGGAGGCGGAAGUCCAGGUGUAGCGGUGAAAUGCGUAGAUAUCAGGAGGAACACCAGCGGCGAAGGCGGCCUGCUGGACCGCGACUGACGUUGAGGCUCGAAAGCGUGGGGAGCGAACAGGAUUAGAUACCCGAGUAGUC